rnacentral:rRNA from 1 species
AAUGAACGCUGGCGGCGUGCCUAAUACAUGCAAGUCGAGCGAAUGGAUUGAGAGCUUGCUCUUAUGAAGUUAGCGGCGGACGGGUGAGUAACACGUGGGUAACCUGCCCAUAAGACUGGGAUAACUCCGGGAAACCGGGGCUAAUACCGGAUAACAUUUUGAACCGCAUGGUUCGAAAUUGAAAGGCGGCUUCGGCUGUCACUUAUGGAUGGACCCGCGUCGCAUUAGCUAGUUGGUGAGGUAACGGCUCACCAAGGCAACGAGGCGUAGCCGACCUGAGAGGGUGAUCGGCCACACUGGGACUGAGACACGGCCCAGACUCCUACGGGAGGCAGCAGUAGGGAAUCUUCCGCAAUGGACGAAAGUCUGACGGAGCAACGCCGCGUGAGUGAUGAAGGCUUUCGGGUCGUAAAACUCUGUCGUUAGGGAAGAACAAGUGCUUGUUGAAUAAGCUGGCACCUUGACGGUACCUAACCAGAAAGCCACGGCUAACUACGUGCCAGCAGCCGCCGUAA